rnacentral:lncRNA from 1 species
UCACCUACCCUUGGCAAGGAAUUAAAGAUAAGGAUUAAUUACCCAAAUCCUAUCCUUAAUACAUUCCCAAUUGAAGAUUGACUUCCAUCAAGUAAGUAAUCCUAAUUUAAAUCAAUUAGGAAUAAUUACACCAUUAUCUCAAGAUAUUAUUUCCUAUUUAAUAUCUUGGGAAUAUUUAGAGAAUAUCUCUCCAUUAAACACUAUGGUCGGCCCUAUCCCUAUAAAUACCCCAUAUUCUAUCAAAUUUUCAGAGCUUUUGCAAUCCUGGAAAAAGCCCUAAACACGUCUUCAAUCGUGGGCUCAUGAGGCUUAGGUCUCUGAUCAAAGGUGUUGAUUGUUUUGCAGGUGCAUUUUCCUCAAGAUUGAAGACGGUGGAAAUUUGCAUAGACAAAUUGGGGCUUUCAUUGAGAGCUGAUUCAAAAUACUCAAAGAUGCCUCUUGCAUUAGUUUCUUGAAUUUUCUGCUAGUUGAAUUUCUCACACGUCGUAUCAAUUAAUUUUUCUUAGAAAAGUUUCUAGAUCAAUCCUUGGAGAAAUUAUACAAUGGUAGGAAAUUCAGAAACUACUACGAACGGAACCCCAUACGUGCAAUGAUUUGGACCGGAGAGUGGAGACGAGGACAUAGCCCCACGACAGAGGUCCUCAAG